rnacentral:lncRNA from 1 species
UUUUGUUUAUCGAUUUAUGUUUUCAUUUAUGUUUUAAAAGCAUGUUUUUUUUGCUCAUUUAUUUGAUAUUCUUGCAUUGUCAUUGUUUAUUUUUUUAGUUUUGUUUAUUUAUUUGUUUAUAUUAUUUUUAUGUCAUUGUUGUAUUUAUUAUUGUUGUAUUCGUUAUCGCGACAUUUAUACAUGCAAUAUAACAUUACAUC